CGUGUGAAGAAAAACAGAACCGAGAUGGGAUGAAGAUUUUCAGUUCCCAGUAGAUGAGCCUCCCAUAAACGAUAAGCUUCACGUUGAAGUCAUUAGUUCUUCUUCAAGAUAACUUCAUCCCAAGCUUGAUCUAAAGCAAUUAUCGAUUUCAUGAGACGUGGCAAUCUUCCUACUGAGACCUUUGUUCUUGGAUCCAAUCAAUAUGGUUAUGAUUUCUUCCUGCAGAUAUGAUGGAUCAAUUGGUUCAGCUUGUCAAGCUAUGGCUGCAGUUGAUCAGUUUGCAUUGCAGUUUGGUCAGAAAAUCAUUUUUUUGCAAGAACCAUAUAUAUUUUUACAUGUUUGAAUUUUUUUUUUUAAGAACCU